UACGGAGGGUGCAAGCGUUAUCCGGAUUCACUGGGUUUAAAGGGUGCGUAGGCGGAUAUGUAAGUCCGUGGUGAAAUCUCUGGGCUUAACCCGGAAACUGCCAUGGAUACUAUGUGUCUUGAAUGUUGUGGAGGUAAGCGGAAUAUGUCAUGUAGCGGUGAAAUGCUUAGAUAUGACAUAGAACACCAAUUGCGAAGGCAGCUUGCUACACAACUAUUGACUCUGAUGCACGAAAGCGUGGGGAUCAAACAGG
rnacentral:rRNA from 1 species